GUGGGUAUUAUUGGUGAAAGAUAUCUACAAAUAUUUGCAUGCUUACUGUGUGCCCAGUUGCAGAAAAUGGGCCACCCGACCUCAUCUUUAGCAACCUCUUGAUUUAGGUCAUAAUUAUCCCACCUUAAAGAUGAAGAAGCAGGUCCUGAGAAAUUAAAUCACUUACUCUAGGGUACAUAUUUGGUUAGUGGAAGACAGGAUUUGAACACAGUUUUGAGCUUAAGUCCUGAGCUCUCUCAGAAGCUGAUUCUGUUAAUAUUUUACCAGAACAAUGUAAAAUGUACUAGUCACUCAACCGAAGAAAGUUUUGUAGGGAAUGAAAGCCUGGAGAGCAAGGUUAGAGAUUCAAUUAACUCUUCUCCUGAGCCUGCAUAAGGAACAGCUCCCUAGAGGUCAGGCCAAGAGGAAGCAGAUUUACACAACCAAAUAACUGAUCUUAGAAUAGAAACCAUAUGCUGAAGGUUUUUAGUGAUUCUUUAGGUUAAAAAAAAUAAAAUUAGUAAUAAUUAAGCCUAGAAUUUUUAUUUAACAAUGUGGUCACUGGCAUAAUAAAUUCUUGCUGGAAUGACUAAAAAGAUUUAAAAAAGUACUGAUCAUUUUUUCUUAAUUUUUAAUUGAUGCAUUAUAAUUAUACAUAAUAGUGGGAUUCACAGUGACACAUUGGUACAUGCACAUAACAUAAUUUAUUUGCUCAGUUUCAUUCCUGGUAUCUCCCCUUGCCCUCCCCAUUUCCCUCUCUUUGGUCCCUUUCCUCUGCUUACCACUGACCAUUUCUUGAAAAACAAGGACUGGCCGUAGAAAUCUUUCAAAUCUUCUGGAUAAACUGAUUUCAUGGUUUAAUUGAUUUGACUUCGGAUGUGGGUAUUUUGCUUUCUGGACUCAUUAUUGUUUUGCUUGUGUUUCAGAAAACUAUUAAGGGUAAUUGUG
rnacentral:lncRNA from 1 species